AUUGAACGCUGGCGGCAGGCCUAACACAUGCAAGUCGAGCGAGUGGCGGACGGGUGAGUAAUGUUUGGGAAACUGCCCGAUGGUGGGGGAUAACUACUGGAAACGGUAGCUAAUACCGUAUACUACUAUAUGCGCCUAGGUGGGUUUAGCUAGUAGGUGGGGUAAUGGCUCACCUAGGCGACGAUCCCUAGCUGGUCUGAGAGGAUGACCAGCCACACUGGAACUGAGACACGGUCCAGACUCCUACGGGAGGCAGCAGUGGGGAAUAUUGCACAAUGGGCGCAAGCCUGAUGCAGCCAUGCCGCGUGUGUGAAGAAGGCCUUCGGGUUGUAAAGCACUUUCAGCGAGGAGGCGUUACUCGCAGAAGAAGCACCGGCUAACUCCGUGCCAGCAGCCGCGGUAAUAC
rnacentral:rRNA from 1 species